CGGCAUAUAUGGUCUUUGAUGAGCUCCGCCGCGCGCGGACGUGAUGAAGUGGGAAUGCCUCUGACGGUAGCGCCAUGAAGCGGCGUUGUUGGUGAUGUCAAUAAGAACAAAUCUCGAAUUCAAAGCUCUCAUUUCCCUUUACGAUGAAUUUUAUUUUCUCUCUGUGUUUGGUCUUGGUUUUGUAGGAAGGGGAAAGGAAAGGAAAGAAGAUAUGAGAAGCAAGGAGAAAGAAGAAGAUUCGAAGGGAUCUCCUCUGGGAUUGGAGAGAAAGUGGGACCCCAACAGAGGAAAGGCAGGC
rnacentral:lncRNA from 1 species